rnacentral:rRNA from 1 species
AGUUACUGGGCGUCAAGCGCGCGCAGGCGGCUCGUCAAGCUGACGUGAAAGCCCCCGGCUCAACCGGGGAGGUCGUCGGGGACUGGCGAGCUUGAGGUCGGCAGGGGCUGGUGGAACUCCCGGUGUAGUGGUGAAAUGCGUAGAGAUCGGGAAGAACACCCGUGGCGAAGGCGGCCAGCUGGGCCGGACCUGACGCUGAGGCGCGAAGGCGUGGGGAGCGAACGGGAUUAGAUACCCCGGUAGUCCACGCAGUAAACGAUGCAGACUAGGCGUGGGGGGACUUGACCCCCUCCGUGCCGUAGCUAACGCGUGAAGUCUGCCGCCUGGGGAGUACGGCCGCAAGGCUAAAACUCAAAGGAAUUGACGGGGGCCCGCACAAGCGGCGGAGCGUGCGGUUUAAUUCGACGCAACGCGUAGAACCUUACCAGGGCUUGACAUGCACCUGCAGAGCCGUGAAAGCGGUUGGCCUUUGAGGGUGGUGCACAGGUGCUGCAUGGCUGUCGUCAGCUCGUGUCGUGAGAUGUUGGGUUAAGUCCCGCAACGAGCGCAACCCUCGUGGUUAGUUGCCGAUGUUUCUAGCCAGACUGCCGGUAGCAAGCCGGAGGAAGGUGGGGAUGAUGUCAAGUCAGCAUGGCCCUUACGUCCUGGGCUACACGCACGCUACAAUGGCCGGGACAAUGGGCUGCCAAACCGCAAGGUGGAGCGAAUCCCACAAACCCGGUCUCAGUUCAGAUCGCGGGCUGCAACUCGCCCGCGUGAAGGUGGAGUCGCUAGUAACCGCAGGUCAGCACUACUGCGGUGAAUACGUUCCCGGGCCUUGCACACACCGCCCGUCA